GACGAACGCUGGCGGCGUGCUUAACACAUGCAAGUCGAACGGAAAGGCCCUGCUUUUGUGGGGUGCUCGAGUGGCGAACGGGUGAGUAACACGUGAGUAACCUGCCCUUGACUUUGGGAUAACUUCAGGAAACUGGGGCUAAUACCGGAUAGGAGCUCCUGCUGCAUGGUGGGGGUUGGAAAGUUUCGGCGGUUGGGGAUGGAUUCGCGGCUUAUCAGCUUGUUGGUGGGGUAGUGGCUUACCAAGGCUUUGACGGGUAGCCGGCCUGAGAGGGUGACCGGCCACAUUGGGACUGAGAUACGGCCCAGACUCCUACGGGAGGCAGCAGUGGGGAAUAUUGCACAAUGGGCGGAAGCCUGAUGCAGCAACGCCGCGUGCGGGAUGACGGCCUUCGGGUUGUAAACCGCUUUCGCCUGUGACGAAGCGUGGGUGACGGUAAUGGGUAAAGAAGCACCGGCUAACUACGUG
rnacentral:rRNA from 1 species